rnacentral:rRNA from 1 species
AGGAAUAUUGGUCAAUGGACGCGAGUCUGAACCAGCCAAGUAGCGUGAAGGAUGACUGCCCUAUGGGUUGUAAACUUCUUUUAUAUGGGAAUAAAGUUUUCCACGUGUGGAAUUUUGUAUGUACCAUAUGAAUAAGCAUCGGCUAACUCCGUGCCAGCAGCCGCGGUAAUACGGGGGAUGCAAGCGUUAUCCGGAUUUAUUGGGUUUAAAGGGUGCGUAGGCUGUGAGGUAAGUCAGCGGUGAAAUGCCCCCGCUCAACGGGGUGAAGUGCCAUUGAUACUGCCUUGCUGGAAUGCGGAUGCCGUGGGAGGAAUGUGUGGUGUAGCGGUGAAAUGCAUAGAUAUCACACAGAACACCGAUUGCGAAGGCAUCUCACGAAUCCGCGAUUGACGCUGAUGCACGAAAGCGUGGGUAUCAAACAGG